UCUUAUUUGUCGUGAUGAGAUAUUUAACUCAUUGAGUCUGAAUGUAAUCUUACAUUGUUCUACAAGGGUUGCUUUUUUCCUUGUUAAAAUAUGUCCGCCUUGUCUUGUGGUGAAUUCAUUUAUCGAUCUACAAAAGCUCUGCCGUCUCCAAUUCCUCCAGUUUUCUCGGUCAAAUCUUUCGAUGUUUUCCCUCACGACCAACCACUUGCUAGCACCACAUGGUUUCCAGGAUCUGUGAUUUGAGCUCAUCUCUCUCUCUCUCUCUCUCUCUCUCUCUCUCUUUCUACAUAUAAAUAUAGAUCGUAUGAAUGUAAGAUUCUCCACUACUCCUUCCUUUGAUCCCUCCUCACCCUCUACCUCGCUUCAUAUCCAUCACAACAUCCAAGAGACGAUGGCCCAAGCAGUAAGAGGACAAGACGAUGCAGAAUUUGGACAAGCUCAGCUCAUCCGGGAAGCAACCACUCAGAACGUGAACCCACAACAGGUGCUCGGCCAUGCAACCACCCAUGAUCAGCUGUGUGAUGCCAUGCAUGAGAAUCUGCUGAACACUGAGACUGAAUCGAAGACGGGGAGGACGAUCUCUGACCUGUCUCUUCAAGCGAGGGGAAGGUCUCUGAGCACCCCAAGUUCUGCCAAAUUCUGAGAUAUCCCAUCCAUGACUCGCAGCCGGCGUGCAGGAGAUGAUGCUACCUUAGCAGUAUAAACCUACCUACAAAUGUUUUGUAAUCUACCUUCGAUCUUGCAUUGUCACAUUAUGCUCUCGACUGUUGUCAUGAUCAUCAUGAGAUAAAAUCAAUCUGUUUUUGCAGUUCAUAA